UCCCAUGUGGUCCAGUGCUUAAGAUUCCUGGCUUUCACCCAGGCGACCCAGUUCGAUUCCCGGCAUGGGAA
rnacentral:tRNA from 1 species